UACGAAGGGGGCUAGCGUUGUUCGGAUUUACUGGGCGUAAAGCGCGCGUAGGCGGAUAGAUAAGUCAGAGGUGAAAUCCCGGGGCUCAACCCCGGAAUUGCCUUUGAUACUGUUUAUCUUGAGUGCAGAAGAGGUAAGUGGAAUUCCGAGUGUAGAGGUGAAAUUCGUAGAUAUUCGGAGGAACACCAGUGGCGAAGGCGGCUUACUGGUCUGCAACUGACGCUGAGGCGCGAAAGCGUGGGGAGCAAACAGG
rnacentral:rRNA from 1 species